rnacentral:rRNA from 1 species
UACGGGGGGGGCAAGCGUUGUUCGGAAUUACUGGGCGUAAAGGGCUCGUAGGCGGCCAACUAAGUCGGAUGUGAAAUCCCCAAGCUUAACUUGGGAACUGCAUCCGAUACUGGAUGGCUUGAAUCCGGGAGAGGGAUGCAGAAUUCCAGGUGUAGCGGUGAAAUGCGUAGAUAUCUGGAGGAAUACCGGUGGCGAAGGCGGCAUCCUGGACCGACAUUGACGCUGAUGAGCGAAAGCUAGGGGAGCAAACGGG